GACGAACGCUGGCGGCGUGCUUAACACAUGCAAGUCGAACGGAGUGGCGAACGGGUGAGUAACACGUGGGUGAUUUGCCUUGCACUCUGGGAUAAGCUUGGGAAACUGGGUCUAAUACCGGAUAGUGCAUGGUGUGCUCGCUGCCUAUCAGCUUGUUGGUGGGGUAAUGGCCUACCAAGGCGUCGACGGGUAGCCGGCCUGAGAGGGUGUACGGCGACAGUGGGACUGAAGGACUGCCCAGACUCCUACGGGAGGCAGCAGUGGGGAAUAUUGCAAAAUGGGCGGAAGCCUGAUGCAGCGACGCCGCGUGGGGGAGAACGGCGUUCAGGUUGUAGACUCCUUUCGAAAGGGACGCGGUACCUGUAUAGGAAGCACCGGCUAACUACGUGCCAGCAGCCGCGGUAAUUC
rnacentral:rRNA from 1 species